CCCUUAGAUGUUCUGGGCCGCACGCGCGCUACACUGAUGCAUUCAACGAGUUUUUCCUGGUCCGAGAGGAAUGGGUAACCUUUUGAAAGUGCAUCGUGCUAGGGAUAGACUAUUGCAAUUAUUGGUCUUCAACGAGGAAUUCCUAGUAGACGUAGUUCAUCAGACUGCAUCGAUUACGUCCCUGCCCUUUGUACACACCGCCCGUCGCUACUACUGAUUGGAUGUUUAAGCGAGGUUCUCGAACUGCUAGCGACUUAGCUUCGGUGAGGUCGCAGUGUGGGAAGUGAACCUAGCUUUGGUGUCUAGAGGAAGUAAAAGUCGUAACA
rnacentral:rRNA from 1 species